CAUGGNUCAGAAUCAACGCUGGCGGCGUGCCUUACACAUGCAAGUCGAACGCGAAAGCGAACUUCGGUUCGCAAGUAGAGUGGCAAACGGGUGAGUAUCGCGUGGGUGACCUACCUUCGAGUGGGGGAUAACCUUCCGAAAGGGGGGCUAAUACCGCAUAACAUCCCGCUUUUAGAGAAGCGGUGAUCAAAGCUGGCCGUUCGCGGCUAGCGCUUGUUGAGGGGCCCGCGUCCGAUUAGCUUGUUGGUGGGGUAAUGGCUCACCAAGGCUUCGAUCGGUAGCCGGCCUGAGAGGGCGGACGGCCACACUGGGACUGAGACACGGCCCAGACUCCUACGGGAGGCAGCAGUGGGGAAUUGUUCGCAAUGGGCGAAAGCCUGACGACGCAACGCCGCGUGGAGGACGAAGAUCUUCGGGUCGUAAACUCCUGUCGAGCGGGAAGAACAGCGUGCCGGUUAAUACCCGGCACGCCUGACGGUACCGCUAAAGGAAGCCCCGGCUAACUCCGUGCCAGCAGCCGCGGUAAUACGGGGGGGGCAAGCGUUGUUCGGAUUUACUGGGCGUAAAGGGCUCGUAGGCGGCCAUCUAAGUCGAUUGUGAAAUCCCUCGGCUCAACCGGGGAACUGCGACCGAUACUGGAUGGCUUGAAGCCGGGAGAGGGAUGCGGAAUUUCAGGUGUAGCGGUGAAAUGCGUAGAUAUCUGAAGGAACACCCGUGGCGAAGGCGGCAUCCUGGACCGGUCUUGACGCUGAGGAGCGAAAGCUAGGGGAGCGAACGGGAUUAGAUACCCCGGUAGUCCUAGCCGUAAACGAUGAAUGUUUGGUGUGGCGGGUAUCGAUCCCUGCCGUGCCGUAGCUAACGCGUUAAACAUUCCGCCUGGGGAGUACGGUCGCAAGGCUGAAACUC
rnacentral:rRNA from 1 species